AAAUUGAAGAGUUUGAUCAUGGCUCAGAUUGAACGCUGGCGGCAGGCCUAACACAUGCAAGUCGAACGGUAACAGGAAGCAGCUUGCUGCUUCGCUGACGAGUGGCGGACGGGUGAGUAAUGUCUGGGAAACUGCCUGAUGGAGGGGGAUAACUACUGGAAACGGUGGCUAAUACCGCAUAACGUCGCAAGACCAAAGAGGGGGACCUUCGGGCCUCUUGCCAUCAGAUGUGCCCAGAUGGGAUUAGCUUGUUGGUGAGGUAAUGGCUCACCAAGGCGACGAUCCCUAGCUGGUCUGAGAGGAUGACCAGCCACACUGGAACUGAGACACGGUCCAGACUCCUACGGGAGGCAGCAGUGGGGAAUAUUGCACAAUGGGCGCAAGCCUGAUGCAGCCAUGCCGCGUGUAUGAAGAAGGCCUUCGGGUUGUAAAGUACUUUCAGCGGGGAGGAAGGUGUUGUGGUUAAUAACCGCAGCAAUUGACGUUACCCGCAGAAGAAGCACCGGCUAACUCCGUGCCAGCAGCCGCGGUAAUACGGAGGGUGCAAGCGUUAA
rnacentral:rRNA from 1 species